GACGAACGCUGGCGGCGUGCUUAACACAUGCAAGUCGAACGGAAAGGCCCUGCUUGCAGGGUACUCGAGUGGCGAACGGGUGAGUAACACGUGGGUGAUCUGCCCUGCACUUCGGGAUAAGCCUGGGAAACUGGGUCUAAUACCGGAUAGGAGCCAUUUUUAGUGUGAUGGUUGGAAAGUUUUUUCGGUGUAGGAUGAGCUCGCGGCCUAUCAGCUUGUUGGUGGGGUAAUGGCCUACCAAGGCGGCGACGGGUAGCCGGCCUGAGAGGGUGGACGGCCACAUUGGGACUGAGAUACGGCCCAGACUCCUACGGGAGGCAGCAGUGGGGAAUAUUGCACAAGGGGCGCAAGCCUGAUGCAGCGACGCCGCGUGGGGGAUGACGGCCUUCGGGUUGUAAACUCCUUUCGCUAGGGACGAAGCUUUUUGUGACGGUACCUAGAUAAGAAGCACCGGCUAACUACGUG
rnacentral:rRNA from 1 species